UGGGGAAUAUUGGACAAUGGGGGAAACCCUGAUCCAGCCAUGCCGCGUGAGUGAUGAAGGCCUUAGGGUUGUAAAGCUCUUUUGUCAGGGAAGAUGAUGACGGUACCUGAAGAAUAAGCACCGGCUAACUUCGUGCCAGCAGCCGCGGUAAUACGAAGGGUGCUAGCGUUGUUCGGAAUCACUGGGCGUAAAGCGCGCGUAGGUGGCUUUGCAAGUCAGGGGUGAAAUCCCACGGCUCAACCGUGGAACUGCCCUUGAAACUGCAAAGCUAGAGUGUCGGAGGGGAUAGCGGAAUUGCUAAUGUAGAGGUGAAAUUCGUAGAUAUUAGCAGGAACACCGGUGGCGAAGGCGGCUAUCUGGACGACAACUGACACUGAGGCGCGAAAGCGCGGGGAUCAAACAG
rnacentral:rRNA from 1 species